AACGAACGCUGGCGGCAUGCCUAACACAUGCAAGUCGAACGAGACCUUCGGGUCUAGUGGCGCACGGGUGCGUAACGCGUGGGAACCUGCCCUUAGGUUCGGAAUAACUCCCCGAAAGGGGUGCUAAUACCGGAUAAUGUCUUCGAACCAAAGAUUUAUCGCCUUUGGAUGGGCCCGCGUUGGAUUAGCUAGUUGGUAGGGUAAAAGCCUACCAAGGCGACGAUCCAUAGCUGGUCUGAGAGGAUGAUCAGCCACACUGGGACUGAGACACGGCCCAGACUCCUACGGGAGGGAGCAGUGGGGAAUAUUGGACGCUGGGCGAAAGCCUGACCAAGCCAUGCCGCGUGAGUGAUGAAGGCCUUAGGGUUGUAAAGCUCUUUUAGCCGGGAUGAUAAUGACAGUACCGGGAGAAUAAGCUCCGGCUAACUACGUG
rnacentral:rRNA from 1 species